GAUGAACGCUGGCGGCGUGCCUAAUACAUGCAAGUCGAGCGAACGGACGAGAAGCUUGCUUCUCUGAUGUUAGCGGCGGACGGGUGAGUAACACGUGGAUAACCUACCUAUAAGACUGGGAUAACUUCGGGAAACCGUAUCUAAUACCGGAUAAUAUUUUGAACCGCAUGGUUCAAAAGUGAAAGACGGUCUUGCUGUCACUUAUAGAUGGAUCCGCGCUGCAUUAGCUAGUUGGUAAGGUAACGGCUUACCAAGGCAACGAUGCAUAGCCGACCUGAGAGGGGGAUCGGCCACAGUGGAGCUGAGACACGGUCCAGACGCCUACGGGAGGCAGCAGUAGGGAAUCUUCCGAAAUGGGCGAAAGCCUGACGGAGCAACGCCGCGUGAGUGAUGAAGGGCUGCGGAUCGUAAAACGCUGUUAUUGGGGAAGAACAGAUGUGUAAGUAACUGUGCACAUCUUGACGGUACCGAAGCAGAAAGCCACGGUUAACUACGU
rnacentral:rRNA from 1 species